GACGAACGCUGGCGGCGUGCCUAAUACAUGCAAGUAGAACGCUGAAGAGAGGAGCUUGCUCUUCUUGGAUGAGUUGCGAACGGGUGAGUAACGCGUAGGUAACCUGCCUUGUAGCGGGGGAUAACUAUUGGAAACGAUAGCUAAUAUCGCAUAACAAUGGAUGACACAUGUCAUUUAUUUGAAAGGGGCAAUUGCUCCACUACAAGAUGGACCUGCGUUGUAUUAGCUAGUAGGUGAGGUAAUGGCUCACCUAGGCGACGAUACAUAGCCGACCUGAGAGGGUGAUCGGCCACACUGGGACUGAGACACGGCCCAGACUCCUACGGGAGGCAGCAGUAGGGAAUCUUCGGCAAUGGGGGCAACCCUGACCGAGCAACGCCGCGUGAGUGAAGAAGGUUUUCGGAUCGUAAAGCUCUGUUGUAAGUCAAGAACGGGUGUGAGAGUGGAAAGUUCACACUGUGACGGUAGCUUACCAGAAAGGGACGGCUAACUACGUG
rnacentral:rRNA from 1 species